GAGAUGUCGGGUAGUCCGCACGAGCGCACCUCACUUUUAUUUGCCAUCAUUAAGUUGGGCACUCUGAAAGAACUGCCAGUGAUAAGCUGGAGGAAAGUGGGGAUGACGUCAAGUCCUCAUGGCCCUUACGUGUUGGGCUACACACGUGCUACAAUGGCAUCUACAACAGGAAGCAAAACGGCAACGUUAAGCAAAUCCCGAAAAGAUGCCUCAGUUCGGAUUGCACUCUGCAACUCGAGUGCAUGAAGCUGGAAUUACUAGUAAUCGUGGAUCANCGUGCCACGGUGAAUGCGUUCCCGGGUCUUGUACACACCGCCCGUCACACCAUGGGAGUUGGUUCUACCUUAAGGCAAGGUUUUAAACCCUUGACCACGGUAUAGUCAGCGACUGGGGUGAAGUCGUAACAAGGUAGCCGUACGGGAACCUGCGGCUGGAUUACCUCCUUUCU
rnacentral:rRNA from 1 species